rnacentral:pre_miRNA from 1 species
AAGGAAGGAGCUGAGCUUCCUUCAUGUCCAAUAUAGAGGGCUGAGAAGUGGUUAAGAGCUGCCAUCUCAUGCAUUUCUGGCUAUUUACAUUGCAUUCUUAUCAAUUGCGGCCGAGGAUGAAGCGAAGCAAAACAAAACAAAAGCCGAAAUGCAAGUAAAAUAGCCCUGAUGCAUGAGUCGGGAGCAACUCCUUCCACGUCGCUUUGUCCGCUAAUUGGAGUGAAGGGAGCUCCAUCCCUUCAUAUC